rnacentral:lncRNA from 10 species
GGUCUGGGGCUCUCUUCCCAGAGAGCUCGUAGGGGAGGACAGUCAAGGGACUCAAGCGUCUCUCUUGACUCCCCUUCUCUCGCUGUGCAGUGGCGGCGCCGAGGGGUCGACGCUCAGGGCUAAUCUCUAUGAGUCACCCUCGAGGCCCCGGGUAAUAUUGGGUGGAUCACAAGAACUAAUCUUUCAUGAUUUGGAAACCGGAAGGAAAGAAGCACUUUUGUAGCUGACUUACCUCAAUGACAUGACCAGUGUCUGAGCCUACAACUGCGCUAUCUUCCCUGGAUUUUUCUUCACCUUUUCCUUACUCAUGAGCCAGGACCCAUGUGGGCAGAGAGGAGAGUUCUCACCUGGAGUUCAGCAUGGUGGACUUGGGCUGCAGCCGUGGCCACCUGGUCCUCCAGAUCCGCCAGAUGGGUCUCAUCAGUGCCACUGUGGAUGCAGCGGGCGGCAUCUUCUAGCUCAGUCAGCUGGGUCUCCAGUCCAUACACAGUGCCUGCU